rnacentral:rRNA from 1 species
CCCUGAUCCAGCCAUCCCGCGUGUGCGAUGAAGGCCUUCGGGUUGUAAAGCACUUUUGGCAGGAAAGAAACGUCGCGGGCUAAUACCCCGCGGAACUGACGGUACCUGCAGAAUAAGCCCCGGCUAACUUCGUGCCAGCAGCCGCGGUAAUACGAAGGGGGCUAGCGUUGCUCGGAAUCACUGGGCGUAAAGGGUGCGUAGGCGGGUUUCUAAGUCAGAGGUGAAAGCCUGGAGCUCAACUCCAGAACUGCCUUUGAUACUGGAAGUCUUGAGUAUGGCAGAGGUGAGUGGAACUGCGAGUGUAGAGGUGAAAUUCGUAGAUAUUCGCAAGAACACCAGUGGCGAAGGCGGCUCACUGGGCCAUUACUGACGCUGAGGCACGAAAGCGUGGGGAGCAAACA